rnacentral:rRNA from 1 species
GGGAAUUUUCCGCAAUGGGCGAAAGCCUGAUGGAGCAACGCCGCGUGAGUGAAGAAGGUCUUAGGAUUGUAAAGCUCUGUCCUUAGGGAAGAACCGUGGGUAUAGUAAAUGCUACCCACCUGACGGUACCUUUGGAGGAAGCACUGGCUAACUACGUGCCAGCAGCCGCGGUAAUACGUAGAGUGCAAGCGUUGUCCGGAAUUAUUGGGCGUAAAGGGUACGCAGGCGGAUAAUCAAGUCAAGCGUGAAAGGUGUCGGCUUAACCGACAGACUGCGUUUGAAACUGGUUAUCUUGAGUGUAACAGAGGAGGGUGGAAUUCCUAGUGUAGUGGUGAAAUACGUAGAUAUUAGGAAGAACACCAGUGGCGAAGGCGACUCUCUGGGUUAACACUGACGCUGAGGUACGAAAGCUGGGGGAGCGAAAGGGAUUAGAUACCCCUGUAGUC